ACGCUCGACACCUACGGGAGGUAGCAGUCGGGAAUAUUGCGCAAUGGAGGAAACUCUGACGCAGUGACGCCGCGUGCAGGAAGAAGGUUUUCGGAUUGUAAACUGCUUUAGACAGGGAAGAAAGAAAUGACAGUACCUGUAGAAUAAGCUCCGGCUAACUACGUGCCAACAGCCGCGGUAAUCUGAGCGGGCUGGCAAGGC
rnacentral:rRNA from 1 species